GGACAGAUGGCCGAGCGGUUUAAGGCACCGGUCUUGAAAACCGGCAAGGGGGUAACUCCUUCGUGAGUUCGAAUCUCACUCUGUCCGCCA
rnacentral:tRNA from 1 species